CCCGGAGCGGCAGCGGGGACGACAGCACGGCGACAAGGCGGAAGUCCCGCCCCACGCGCCUCAUUGGCCUGCACCCGAAGGCGGAAGUAAACCUUACCCGUCCCGGGCGUUCCAGUCUCAAACGAAGCUUCUUUGAAAUUUAACCGGAUUGGACCAUCCACGCUGAUUAUCAGUUGCCAAUUAGCCACUUUGAAGAGGCAAUGGAAAAAAAAAAAAAAAGAAGCAGUGGGUUUACUGCAAAAAAUUGCAUAAAGUCCUGAAUUAGAAUGCCAGGAGACGCUAGAUUCUGGUCCUGCUUCUGUUUCAAAAUAAGCGCCUUUACAGGUUUUACAUCCUUCGACCUCAUCUUUUAAACAAAGGAGGGGCCAGAAGGGCUAGCACAGAAAACACCUGAAGAAUACCAUUGGAUGUAACUUUUAAUUUGAUUGCUCUGGGUACACCUGAGUGACUGAAAAAGGAAUAGGAGGAAAACUCUUUCCCCAUUGUGUAUCUUUUGGGGCCUUUGAAUUUUGUACCUUGUGAACACUACUCAAAAAUUAAAUACAAAAAUGUUAAAAAUCAAAUUACAAUAAAAUAACAAAGGCCAUCAAA